UACGUAGGGUGCGAGCGUUGUCCGGAAUUACUGGGCGUAAAGAGCUCGUAGGUGGUUUGUCGCGUUGUUCGUGAAAACUCACAGCUCAACUGUGGGCGUGCGGGCGAUACGGGCAGACUGGAGUACUGCAGGGGAGACUGGAAUUCCGGGUGUAGUGGUGAAAUGCGUAGAGAUCCGGAGGAACACCAGUGGCGAAGGCGACACGCUGGGCCGUACCUGACACUGAUACGCGACAGCAUGGGGAGCGAACGGG
rnacentral:rRNA from 1 species